rnacentral:rRNA from 2 species
UGAAUGUCAAAAUGACUCUCGGCAACGGAUAUCUCGGCUCUCGCAUCGAUGAAGAACGUAGCGAAAUGCGAUACUUGGUGUGAAUUGCAGAAUCCCGUGAACCAUCGAGUCUUUGAACGCAAGUUGCGCCCGAAGCCUUCGGGCCGAGGGCACGCCUGCCUGGGCGUCACGCAUCGCGU